GCCCAUGUAGCUCAGGCGGUAGAGCACUUCCUUGGUAAGGAAGAGGUCACCGGUUCAAUCCCGGUCAUGGGCUCCA
rnacentral:tRNA from 1 species